CAAUCCCUCCACUCUCAGAUAGCCAAGGUGUUUUUACACUACACUAAUUUUAGUUGCUUGAUUUAGCUACAUAAUUACAUUUCUAGAUAACGACAGUGGUCAGAGUUUGACAGAGAAUUCAAUUAUUUAAGGCUGAAUUUUGGUCAUCUUGACAAGACUUCUCAUAAUUGAUUCUCAGGCAUCUGAGUGGCCACACUGUACAGUUUAGAAAGCUGUGGGAACAGCUACAUGCUGACCCCGUCACCUAACCGCCCGAUACUGUUUCUAACUUUAGCUUCUGACUCUGACUUUCAACACCACAUUUCUGGGAAGUUACCCGCCGGGAAGUCACCUCUCGAUGAGAUGAGAUGGGACCUGUUUUCUAGCUGGCUUCACUGUGGGUAAUCGUGGGAGGGGAGACCUGUGAGUUGCUUAGGUAAGGCCUGGGGUAGACUGAAUGAUAGUUCCGGAGUGUUAUAAAGCAGACGGACCACUGGAGCAGGAGGGAGAAACUUCAUUUCAGAUGCUUAGGCCAGAAAUGUACACAUUGAGACUCUUGGUUUCCUGAGUAGAGGAGAGUUAUGAAGCUUGGCAUGGAACGAGAGGUUCAACCCCACGCGUUCUGUUGGCCUUGUCUGCAUAUUCAUUUGUUGUGUUGUUCUCCCUACAGUUUCCAGUUCCAGGUAACAUUACUCACAUUUUCUCUCAUUCUCAUUUUCUACUUAUUUAUUACUGUCUUGUAUGGUUGCAGUCCCUGUAUUUUUGAAACUAACUGAAUGCAUCCUAGUCCUAGGCCAACCACAAACAAUAAAUAACCAACACUAAAUGAACUCUUUUUUUUC
rnacentral:lncRNA from 1 species